UUAGAGCAGGCGGCAGAGUGACAGCACAUCGUUUAAAGCUUAGUGGACAGAGACAGCAGAGCAGCAGCCAGCGGACGUGCUCCCGAUCUGAGCAUUCGUCACACACAUGACCUUUGUGAUUCUCGCUUUAUACCCUGUGCUCCCACAAGCAUGAUUCCCAGGGUUUCAGCCUAUGAGACACUUGAAGGAAUAAAAGAAUAGAAAUGUUACUGCUGUGCCGCCUAAUGAGUCUCAGCAAGGACAGUCAGCCAGCUGCUCUCUGCAGACAGAUUCCCUCCCCCAGACAGGGAUACAGAGCGCCGCCUCCAACAAAGACCCUUCAGAGUCAAACUAAAAACCCGGAGUCUGACACGCUUCUCUACCCACCCGUUUACAAGGAAUCCAAACCUCACAGAGAUAUUUGAAUCACUUUGAUGAUGGAGAGUCCACCAGUAAAUUCCAGACUGGUGAAUCUGCAAAACCAAUGACGUGGCUUCUUUUACAAAAAGCAAAGGGAUGAAGGAGCUGCUCUCAUGGCUCAGCAGUAAUGAACCUGACUCGUAUCCAGAGGAUGAGGGUUCGAUCCCUGGCCUCACUCAGUGGGUUGAGGACCCAGUGUUGCCAUGAGCUGUAGUGUAGUGUGCAGAUGCAGCUUGGAUCCGGUGUUGUUGCUGUGGCUGUGGUGUAGGCCAGCAGCUGCAAUUCAGAUUCAACCCCUAGCCUAGGAACUUCCAUAUGCCACGGGUGCAGCCCUAAAAAGACAAAAACAACCCCCCCAAAAAAAACCCACCAAUGAACAUGUCUGUUUCCAUGUGGACAGAAGUUGAGGAGCAACUUAGCCGGCCGUUCUGGCGCAGGGGCUGUCGUGAGAUUGCGGUCAAGAUGUCCCAUGCAACUGGAGGAAGACUCCCCGGAUGGGCGCCCCCUGCUGACGAGCUGUUGUUGCCAGCAGGAGGGGUCAGUUCAUCUCUCUCCUCAUUUCCUGGGGCCACCAUCCCCAGUUUCCCAUUCUCGGUGAUAUUUGGACCAAAUUUAUUCUCUCAGUGCUUGCAGCGGGAAAUCCAGAAUCACAGUGUCGGCAGAGCCAUGCUGUCUAAGGCUCUCGGGGCACAGGAGCCUCUCUCAGCUUCUGGGGUGCCCAACCCUGCCUGGCCUCUGCCUUGCAGGUGCAUCGCUCCAGCGUCUGCCUCCAUCUCCACUGUCUUCCCGUGUGUGUGUUCCCAGCCCCCCUCUGCUCUAAGACACCCUACCCAGCAUGGCCACCCUCUUUCCAAGCAAGGUCACGUCCUGAGGGUCUGGGACGGACCUGAAGGGAGGGACCCACCUCCAACCCAGGGCACUGUCCACAAGGGCCUCUGGGUGCUGCUGCCUGAGGGGGCAGACGACACGGCAGCCGGGUUCCCCAGAGCAAGCGUCUAGGAGCCCAAAGUCAUUCUUUGACGGCCGGGCCUCAGAGUCCAUGCCAGCCCCCCAACAGCGCGGGAGGGCUGGACCAGGGCCCCGUGUCGGGAGGCGAGGACUGAGGAGGGGAUCUUAGAAUCUGACUACAUGAUUCGCGUCCCCCCACGUGAAAAAAAUACACUCAGGUCCCCAAACGCUCGCAGCAACAUCAGUUUCUUCUGGGCUACGGAGAGGCAAAACCCUUCUAAGAAAGUUCUUUAUCUGAAGGGUUGUCUGAGGCUCACCCUGGAGUCUUCUCUUCACAAAACUCUUUUUUUUUUUUUUUUAAGGUCCACACCCGUGGCAUAUGGAAGUUCCCAGGCUAGCUGCCAGCCUACACCACAGCCACCGCAACAUGGGAUCCAAGCUGCAUCUGUGACCUGCACCACAGCUCAGGGCAAUGCUGGAUCCUUAACCCAUCAAGUGAGGCCAGGGAUCAAACCUCAAUCCCCAUGGAUGCUAGUUGGGUUCGUGACUGCUGAGCCAUGACAGGAACUCCUUAACAAAACUUUUCAUGAAAGAUUUCACAGCUACACUCUUGCCUUCAUCUUUGUACCAUAUUUUGCUGACUGUCCCUGGGUUUUAACUUCGCCUGGAAGCCGUUUCUUCACUUUAGCAUCAUCGGCCGUCUCGGGGGGCGGAGGGGGGCCUCUGAGAAUUUCCCCAACCAGCCAGUCCUGACUCCUCUGUGCUUAAAGCCUCUCUAGCUUCUCUCCCAUCACACAUUUCAUGGUAAAGAGCAGGAAGCAGCCAGAUGGCAGCUUGCCUAGAAACCUCUUCUAAGUCGCUCCGUUCAUGAAGUACGUUUUCUACUUUCUGGGAAGAAGUAUCCUGCGUGACAGGACUGUUUUAAAAACAUUUUGCCGAAUCUGCUUUAGCUCCCUCUCUCCCCCUCCCCAGCCCACACACCCGCAUCAUUACAACAAUGCAGGCCUCAGACCCUUGUUGCACACUUCAUCUUGCGCCCUCUGGAAAUAAGGACAUGUCCCAAUAUCACAACCCCGGUGAAACCCCUGAGAAAUCUAACGGUGGCCCUGUGCUGUUCCGCUGCAUCCAGGCCACGUCUGGCGCCCUCGGCUGACCCAGGAAGUCUCUGCGUCUGUACCGUUGUUGUUUUCAAUCGGGAUCCCAUCUAGCUUCCUGCUUUGUUUGGUUCACCUCGUCUAACCUAGGACAGCCCCUCACUUCUCCUGCUUUUUUGUUUUGGUUUUAAGGACACUGAGUUUUGAGGACCCCAGGGCUGUCGUCCUGUAACACUCCCCUCGGGAUGUGUCUGACCCUUUUCCCCAUGGAAACCUGUCCUGCCGCCUCCCACGUCCUGUGCCUCGGAGGUCAGGUUUGGACCCUGGAGCUACGCUGUCCGGCAUGGUCGCCCCUAGCCACAGAUGAGUAUUUGACAUCGAAUGAGUUUCAUGAAGAUUAUCUUAGAUUUUAAAAUCCAGCUCCCUAGCCUCAUUUCAAGUGCCCAAUAUCCGCAUUUAGCCAAUGGCUGCUGUCCUGGGCAGUGCAAAUAUUUCCAUCAUCAUAAAUAUUUCUGUUGAAACACUGCUUCAGAUGCUGUGAGAUCCGGGUUGGACACUUUUGGCAGGACUGCUUCUUGGGUGAUAUUCGGCUCUCCAUACCGCCAUGUGCAGAGGCCUGGCUGGGAGUCCCGGGGUGCCCAGAGGGGCUUGUAAACUGCACCUGGAGCUAGGAUUGUCACACACCUUCCAUAUCCUUCUCUGGUCCCUUCAGCCAAGAUCCUAUAACCUGUAAUGGGAUAGAUUUUUUUUUUCUUUAUAGGGCUGCACCUGAAGCAUAUGGAAACUCCCAGGCUAGGGGUCAAAUCGGAGCUGCAGCUGCCGGCCUACACCACAGCCGUAGCAACUUGGGAUCUGAGCCGCAUCUGCAACCUACACCACAGCUCAUGGCAAUGCGAGAUCCUUAACCCACUGAGCGGGGCCAGGGAUCGAACACACAUUCUCAUGGAUGCUAGUCAGGUCCGUUACUGCUGAGCCACAAUGGGCACUCCCUGAUGGAAAAGAUUUCUAGAGAAGAGAAAAUAAAAUCAACGAAUUUUAGAGCUAGAAGGGAACUUUGAUAUUAUUUUACGAACAGUUGAGGAAACUGAGGCCCACAGACGUUCAAGACUUGCCCAAGGUCACUGAUGCUCAGUUGGAAGCAGAGAAUGACCUUCCCAGCAUCCUCUUACUCUUGACCACUCAUCUAUCAGAGCUGAAAAUACCUUUGUGGCAACUGAGAUCAGCCGGUAUUAACACGCCGACUAAGAAUCAGAAGAUGCCUUUUCCUUAGUGCUUAUCCGCGUGUGGUCUCUAUUCACACAUUAAAAAAACUACUCCACGUGAUUCUCCCAACCACCCUAUGAGGAAGCUACCUACAGAAAAUCUCUGAUGAAUAAGAAUUUUUUUUAGGUAGUCAGAAACCCAGAACUGGUUCACCGGCUCAGUGCUUUCACCCCGCGACAGCUGGUGGCUCUGUGACCAUCUUGGCCUUUCCACCACGGUCACAGGGUCGCUACUGCAGCUCCAGACGUCUCAUCAGCAAUGGAACCACGGUGAAGCUGCAUGUGGCAGUGCCAGCCACUCUGGGCUCCUUUAUAACAAAAGUGAAAUCUUUCUGGGAGUUCCCCUCACGGCUCAGUGGUAUUGAACCUGAGGAAUAUCCAUGAAGACGCGAGUUUGAUCCCGGGCCUCGCUCAGUGCUACUGGCAUCCACAGGUGUUUAGGGAGUGAACCCUUAAAGAACCUCCACUUACUCCGCUUGUAAUAUGUAUUUAAUGCCCCAUUUCCUGUGUCUACCUACCUGAUGCUGUAUAUAUUCAGUGCUAUGUUUGGUUUUGUUUUUUUCCUUUCUUUCUUUUUUUUUUUUGGUUUUUAGGGACGCACCUGUGGCAUAUGGAGGUUCCCAGGCUAGGGGUCAAAUCAGAGCUGUAGCCAUUGGCCUACACCACAGCCACAGCAACACCGGAUCCUUAACCCACUGAGCAAAGCCAGAGAUCAAACCUGCGGCCUCAUGGAUCCUCGUCAGAUUCGAUUCGGCUGAGCCACGACCGGAACUCCCAGUGCCGUGUUUCCUAUACAUUCCACAAAUGUAUAUGCAAGGCUAGAUUUCAUAUUUCUCUCCAACCUUCUGUUUUCUAUGAAAGCUUAGUCUUGCCAACCACACACCCCUCUGGAACACAUUUCCCGCAGUUUGCUGAGAAAUUAAUGGAAUAAAUAAUGCAGACUGAACAAAAAUGUGGCUUCCCCUCCUCCAACGGUGCCAACUGUGAGAGUUGGCAGCCAUACCCAGACUGAUGAGCACACAGUGUUGGCAGGUGGGAACGUCGGUACCCUCUUCCUAAUGGAAAUUUGCCAAACGCCCUAGAAAGUGCGCGUAAGCUUUGACCCAGUUACUUAUUGUUUUUUUCUAAAUUUUUGUUGUUUAUUUGAAAUUCAGAUUUAAGUGGGCAUCCUGUAUUUGCAUUUGUUCAAUCUGGCAAAACCCCCAAUUUUUGUGUGUGUGCUAUUUUAGGGAAUGAGGGGAACUCCAGCCACCCACACCUUGAGCUAACUAGACACCAAGUGGUGGGGGUGACUCUUCAGCCCCAGGACAGGCUUUUUUUCUCCCUUUUUGGUGCCCACAGCACAUGGAAGUUGCCAGCCCAGGGAUGGAACUGGAGCCACAUCUGCAACCUACACCACAGCUAGGGCUGGGGGUCCAACCAGGGCCUCCAGAGAGACAAGGCACAUCAUUACCCCAGUGCCACAGCGGGAACUCCCUGACCCAGGAAUUUAAAUUUAAGAUUUUAUUCGGAGGAAAUAAAUGUCGAACAUUAAAAAUGGCCAAAGCACGUUCAGCACAGUGUUAAUCAGAACAGGGAAAAAUUAGCAACAACUUCUGCCAAAAAAAAAAAAAAA
rnacentral:lncRNA from 1 species